ensembl:lncRNA
AUAAACUAAAUGACUUCAAACAACCAGGGGAUACUUUGAAUGAAAACCUCUAAAGCAAAUUAAGUUGUUGCUACUAUGGUAUCCUUUCUUCAAUUACCUACCACUAUCUAUCACACAGAAUACCUCUCACACACACACACAGCUUGUCUGAAAUACCAUAAUGCCUUCUUUUUUUUUUACAUUGUUGUGAACUUAGACCAUGUUAAUGAAAUGGACACAAUAAAGAAAGAGGAAACAGACCAGCAAAUGUCUGUAUCGGUAACCUAAAGGUAAGACGUGAACCAAUUGGAAUAAAACAGUUGACAUUUCAGUUUAUUUGACAGCUGUGAUGUGUCCAUGGUCCAAAAAAUGAGAGCCUAGCCACAAUUGCUUCCGACUCAUUUCACUCAGGCUGCGGUCACAUAGUUCAGGCGCUGCCCCCAGUGGGUACUGACUGGACUGGCCCAAUCCCAUCUCUUAUCAGUCCCCAUCCCUCCCCCAGAGACUGCCGCGGCUCAGAGCCUGAAAUCUAUGGGUGGAUGAAGGCGUCAAAAGGGAUCAACAAAAGUGCAAGUGUGGUGCAGAGAAGUUGUGGGCCAAAAUAAAUUGCAUGCCCCCAAUUCCCCCUUGGGAGUUUGCAUCUUUGUCACCUUUUUCACCACUGAUCAGUUUGCACCCCUGGACAAUAAUCAGGAUCCCUUUGAGGAUGGGCAUGUGUGCAAAAAACCUGUUUGAGAAUAUCAUAGUAACAGUGUGUUUGUGCAUAAAUGUGGCCAUCUUUGGUAUACUGCUUCUGUGUGCAACAUGCAUUGCGUAAAACUGAUUUCGGUUUCAGUAGUCAUGAGUUUGUUUGACAAAAUUAGUUUGAAUGACCAUGAGAAACACCUCCGACUGAAAUCCCUGACGGACACCAUCAAGAAUUCAUGCAAGGCGCGUUACCGUCCCCAUAGACACCUGGCUGUGGAUGAACGAACGGGCGCCUCCAAGGCUAAAACUGGGAUGACCCAAGGUAUGAAAGCCAAACCCAGAAAGUGGGGAUCAGGCUAUUUGUGUUGUCUGAUAAAAAAAAAUGGCUAUGAAGUGAAUUUUACACCGGCAUGUCCCUUGUGCAGCCUGAUUACCCUGGCACCGGCUACCACAUCUAUAAGGACUAUUUUUAUACUCGCCCCAGGCUCUUCGGGGCCCUCCAUAAGCGCUGAUUUGCUGCCUGUGGGACUCACAGGGAUAUCCUCAAGAACUACCCUCAUACAGAGAUGAACACAAUCAUCAUUGGCAUCCAUCAAAAAAUCAGAAAGAGGAUCCAUGAGAUGAAUGAGGGAUGGGCCAUGGAAACGAGAGACACAUUGGUGGUGUGCUGGUUAAGUCAUGAAACCCACUCCGGUGAGACUGUGCUGAGGAGGGUGAAGCAGCAGGAUGGCCACAUUUAGGAUCAUUUCUGCUAUUUCUGCAGCAGAAGGGCAUUAUCUUCCUUGAGACAUAACUUGACCAGCUGCUAGAUUAUUACAGUCCUCUCUGGCUAAUGUGAACAACUUGGAAACACAUCAGUGUGACAACAACAACAAGGUAUCUCUAGGCAUUUAAACAAUGUGUCCGUUUUCUGCUAUGGAACAUUUUCACGUGGACAUAUCCCCCAAAGGCCUAAUUAUGCCAGUCUUGUUGAACAGCCAGGACAACCUCAUGGACACCCCUCUGACGUGUGUCUGUGAGGCUGGGCCUCUGAUCAGUAAGAAGCUAGAUCAGUGGUGUGGGGCAGGACGAGAACCCUGAACCCCCAACUGAUGGGCAUCUGUUUAAAACAAACAAACAAACAAAAACAAAAACAGGUAAUAGGCUAUAUGAAUAUAUCUCGAUCAUUUUUCUAAUUUUCCAAAGGGCCACAAAAGGUUUGGGAACCGCUGAGCCGGAUGAAACUUCAGAUCAGGGAUUGGGCCUGAGAAUGACCCGUUGAAUUUACACCAUGGUUUAUGAGCAGUUAUACAGAUUUAUGAAUGCACUAAAAAAACAAACCCGCUGUGCUAAGAAGUGAAAUAGCAAAUUGUUUAUUUUAGUCAUGGUACAAUGCCAUAGAAUACACAGUUUUGAGCAGAAGCUUACCGUGUCCAACUGAGCUCAAGACGAAUGUGUUACGAGUCAAGAAGCAUAUAGUCUAUUUUUGAUGAAUGUUUAAGCACCCCCCCUCAAAAAAAAAAAAAAAACACAACACAACAUUAUACAGAAAGGUGCAGCCUGUCUAUGAAAUAUAAUUAAAUCAAAAUUAAUGAACAUCUAAUCUUCACUGCGACAGUGGUGCCCACUCCAGGUUGCAGUGCAGUUUUUUCCUCAAGUGCCCCGUGUACAAGGGCAUAGCACCAAAUCUGCAGUUUAACCCCCCCACGGUACUCUUAAGCCCCUGCCUGUGCUCAUCAUGAUUUUGGACUGGACUGGACUGUUUGCUAAAAGCGUUGUGCUACGACCAUUGAGACCAUAAUUUUUGAACCAAUGACCAUAUACAAUGUAUGGACUGCUUGGGGUCAUAUGCUUACACAAGGUCAAAAUGAGACAUAUUUCUCUUGUUUUCAGACAAAAACCUAAAUUGGGGCCAAUUUCAAAGUCAUUGUUUGGUGAACUUUCUUUCUUGGUUACAAUGGUCACAGCACAUUAGUGCUUCAGCAAUAUGCAGUCCUCAUCCGUCCCUUCUAAUGUAUUGGGAUGACUGUGAUGUGUUUCACACAUACCAUCUAAACCAGUGGUGAGUGUCUGUACAUAUGAGAGGUGAAGCCUAGAAAAACUGAAAUACAUACUGUAAACACCUGAAAAUCUCACAAACUGGAGGAAAGUGUUAAGUGACAUAGGAAAAAAAAUAAAUUGCAUCUCUUGGGGAUAAUCACGUUGAUUUGGCUUGUCACUAGUAUUAGUGUGUAAUGACUUACUCUACCCUUUUAAGGUAAAAAUAAAUAAUAAAUCAUAAUUAACCAUAAUUUCCCACAAUAUUUAUACUUAGAAUAACAUGAUACUGUAUAAAACAACGUAUACACAGUAAAUCAUUAUUAAAUCACAAUGAUGACAAAAGGAAAAAAAUUAAAAAAUACAUCCUCGAACAAUAAUAAUAAAAAAUCUCAAUGAUGUAGACUUCUUCACUGAUGCAGUACCAGUAUCCUGGAGAAUGAGAGUAGACAGACAGACAGACACACACACACACACACACACACACACACACACACACACAACACACACCAGGUGAGACUACAAGAGAAUUACAACAAGUUUUAUUAAUCCCUGCUCUCAUUUAUAUAAAGUACAUUAGAGUCUUGACACUCAAGUCAACUUUACUCAUAUAGCGCAUUUGAAAAACAACGGGAGUUGUACCGAAGUGCUAUACAGUUGAGGUGAAUACAUUGAAAUUAAAUUGACAAAAAAUUAUG